GCGCCGGGGUGAAAGCCUAUUUGCACAUUGCCAACAGCCUGUUUGGCAAACAAGAGGCGGGAGAGCUUAAUUUGUUUCAAAUUAAUCGUUUUCUAAAAAAAAAAAAAAAAAAAAGAGAGAGAGAAAAAAAAGAAAAAGCAGCCCUCCCCAAAACCCUGCAAGUGAACAGGAGGAGCCGUCUCAGGCCAUUUGGUCCCGCGGCUGCCCCGUAUGCGAGCCCACGCGUGCUUGCGUGGGGAGCCGUAGCGUUUGCCUGUGCACAUUCCCGGCUGUACCCCGGCCGCACGCCUGUCGCUUGCAUUUGUGGCCCCCCCACACCCUCUCAAGUGCACCCGGCCCCGCCUCGGACACUCCCGACUUGUACAGCGGACAGCGGUGUGGACGAGGGCAGAGCCCCCGGAAGCCACAUGGAGAGGGACAAACGGGCUUGGGGACACCCGACGGGGCACGUCACCCCUCAUCUAUCUUCCCAUAUUUAGGGACUUGCUGCUCCCCGCUACGCGGGGAGAACGGAGGCACCUCGUAUUUCGGGGAGAAGCCGUUCUCGGGCCCCGUCCUUGCGCCCCUCGUCCCUCUUGCCCUGGCCGUCGGGGGCGCUGUUCGAGCCCUGGCUGGGGAGAACCGCGGAGGCGCCUGGUUGAGGUGCAAGCGAGGCGGCCGGGCCGAGCGAGGCUCGGAGAGAACUGUUCCUGGACAACAGCAAUUUGGUUGGGGUGAAUCACCUGCUUACCUACAAAGAAGAUUAAUAACACCAGAAUCAUGCAUCGACAAACAGAUGUUCAAGCAAAAUGUUCCAACCACUUGAGGCUCUCAUAUGCCUUGCAGACUUUCGUGCUCUUUAACUAAUUAUUUUACUUGGUUUCUUCUAUUUUUUAAACUGGACAACAGGCAGAUAGACUUUUGCCAUUUUUUUUUUUUAAGAAUAAAAAUAUCUCGAGCUAUGCUUGCAUUCAAUAUUGUUUGAAAGAAGCCACAAUUCUUUCUCCUCCCUCCCCAUUUCAACCCAUAGAUCUUCUCUCAGUCUUUUCAGGUGCAAUCGUUUGUCUCGGGAAGUCAAUAACACUUAAGUAUAAUGCAUCACUGAAUUUUACUAUAUAAAUAACAGCUCCAGCCGCAUAUAAAGUAAGUUAUAUUAAAAUGUACCCAGAAAAUGAGAUCUGAAGGAGGUAGCAAGCGAUUUGUAGGACUGAAAAGUUACCAGGCACCUAAGAAUCGUGCCCUAAAUUCUCAGUAUUGGUUUAGCAUCAUAAAAUCCUCAAUGUUGUUUAAACUGUCGUUGCCAUAGUUAGCAGUUGCAGGUAGGUUGCAAUAUUUAUUUAGUCACCGGUAUAUUAAACAACUACCAGCAGUGCCCUGAAGUUUCAUGAAGCACUUCUUUUUUUUUUUUUUAAUCCUUUAUUGCAUAAUCUUAUGUUAAGAAAAUAAAAGUAGAUGUUGCCUUUUUUUGCUAGAGUUUUUCAAAUGUGAAUAGACAACCACAUAAUCCGCUUCAAUCUGUUAUUGUAUUUAGCUGCCUUAAAACAAAUACGCAUCUAAUUUGUUUGACAGUUUUAAAAGUGUAACAUCUGACGUUAUGAGUUCAUUUCUAAGGGAAUUCCAGAGGCCAGUGUGAUUUCUUGGGUUUCAAAGUGUUUUAAUAAAGAGAGGCCACCGUAAUUCCCAGUUUCCCGUAGAAUAAACGACCCUCCUCCCUGCCGGAUAACAAAACGGGGUUUGGGGAUGAGCCCGAGCUUGCAAACCUGCCACAAAGCCAGCACCCUCCUGCCCACGGUGGGUCCCACGGCCGCCCCGUCCCGCCCCACGCUGCAGACAGAUCUUUUGCACGCAAGGGAAAGUUUGAAGCAUCAGGACCUAAGGAGGUUUCCUGCGCACCAGGGGGGUCUGCUCCAAUGCUCCCACUGACAUGAAGCCAGCCGUACGUUAGGAAUCAGCCCCUCGCUUGGUGUAAGAAGGGCUGUAAGAAGAUACACCUAUUUUAAAUUAAACCACCUCUGAAAACAAAACCAAAACCAACGGCAAACCAACCAAACGACAAAGCCUGGGAUUACUUUGAUCAGACUGCAGUGGGUCUGAGGGAUAACCCAGAGUAUAAACAAAAUCGGGGGAUGCAGCAGCACAAUCUGCUUAAUUUAAUGAGCAAAGAAACAGUAGCUUUUCAGUUUGCCACAUUUCUUUACUCAAAAGCCAUAAGUAACCCAAUUUUAUUUUAUUUUCCAUCAAACAACUUUUGGUUUAUGAACUUCAGGGCAUCCAAAUUUUCAGUUUGAAAUUUCAAUACGGCAACUAUUUAAAAAAUAGCUUAAAAUAAUUUAAAGUUUUAAACUCAGUAAGAACUGCAUUUUUUGAAAUAAAUUACACUGAGAGAAUUUCCUUAACUAAUGUGUUUUACAUGAGGUGUAAUAAAAUGUUUUUUAGUUGAUUUAAUCAAAUGUCACCAUUAAUAAGAUUAUGAUGUUCCUUAUUUGUAAUGCAACAAAUUCUCCUUGGAUAAAGUACUAAUUCUAAAAUUGAAGGGUGUACAAAUAAUUCCUGCAAAAUCCUAAGGAGCUUAACUUUCUGGGAAAAGUGUAGAAUAUAUUUUAAUCUACACUUGAACUCAGGCUAUAAUUAUAACAAAAAUACAAAUAUUUAUACGUGAUUUUUUUAAAAUAUAAAACAUUUUCAUAAAAAAGAUUUGCUUUUGAUAAAGACAUCUAUAGCAGUAAGCUAUGCUUUUAAUCAUUAAAACACUGCUGAACAUUUUACAGAGAACAGGAUCUAACUUUUGAUUUAUUGCACUCCGUUGAUUUUUGUCACAGAUUAUAUAUCCAAAUAACUGUAUAACAGACUUAAUGCCAUGCAGGAAUGAAGCAAAUAUUUUAAACGGAAUUGUUGUUAUUGACAAGUUACUGAGAGAGUGCAAAAUUGGAAGACAUUAAAAUUUAUGACCAUGAAAUCCUUUUUACAGUACCACUUGAUAUAUCGUGCUUUAAAUCAAUACCUGUCAAGUCUUUUAGGUAACUGUAUGAUGGUGUCAUUUUAGUUCUCUACAAAAGAGAGGAAACCUAUAGUGUUUCGUAUUUAUAUCUGGCUUCUCAGCAUGUAGCACAGGACUUUCUAUAAUGACUAAGUCAGCUGUUAAAGCUUAUGGCAAAGUUUACUUAAUUUUUUACAUAAAUAUUCCAAAACCUGAUCACCAUUUAUAUAGGAACACACUGACUUUGAGUCCACACAUUGCGGUAUUGUAAAACAUAUUGCCAGGUGUGUAUGCGUGUGUGUGUGGUUAUAUAAAUACCCACUCCCCCCAUAUUAAAAAAAUAUGUAUAUAUAAAUAAAAACAUAAAUAUAUUAAAAUAUACAUAUAAAAGAGCUAUUACUUGUCUAAAUUAAUUUUGAAAACAUUUGAUUUUAUAUAAACACAUUUAUAUAAACACAUUCACUGAAGGAAAAACAAGCUGCUUAUAAGAUAACUGGAAAAGAAAAAUUUGCUACAAUAACCAAUGAGGGUCACAAUAGUAAGUAAACAGCUGGUAAAUUCUUCGUUAUAUUAUUUCACUUGUUUAAUCUUGAGUGAACAUAUUUGAUUAGAUUAAGGCAAAUUCUGCUGGUCUAAAUCUGAAUAUGGGAAAAUCUAUGGACAUAUAACUUUGCUGAAUAUUCUAGAUAUGCAUUAGCUUUGAGGGUGGUAGAUUUGGUUCUAUGCAUGCAACUAAAUGUGUGUUCUCCAGUUAAGAGAGCAAUUUAGAAAUCUCAGUUCGUUUUAGUCCUGUUGAUUUCAAUGAUUUUGAUUCUUUGUGUAAAAGUAGCAGGAAGGGAUUGCAAAUAUCUAAAAAUAACAAGAAUUGAAUGUUUUUAACUUGUUAUUAAGGCGACAUUUCAGUAUUCUACUCUCACAUUACCAGAGACUGUCAGUGGCAAAUACGAUCUGCAGACUUCUGCUUUAUACAAGGUCAUGGAUUAAGCUAAGACCUGUUUGUAAUUUUCCAUGAUGAAUACUAAAUUGCAAAUGUUAAAAUGUUUCAUUUCUAUAGUUUUGGAACAAAAUGGUUUUGUUUUUAGUUUUGAAAUGACAUUUUAUUUUAAUCAAAACAAGCAACAAAAAGUGAAACAUUUUUGAUCAACCUCAUUUUUUUUUCUUUUUUACCAAAAAUGCUAUUUUGACUAAACAGGUUGUGUGUGUUUUUUUAUUGUUGUUUGUUUGUUUGUUUGUUUGUUUGUUGUUUGGUUUUUGUUUAUUUUUUGUUUAUUUUUGUUUAUUUUUUGUUUAUUUUUGUUGUGUUUUUUGGCUGUGUUUUUUGUUUUGUUUUGUUUGUUUUCCCCCACCAAAUCAGGAAAGUCAAUAUUGCCCCGUCUCUAGUUAUGGUUGGACUGGUUGUCAGACUGUUUGCUGGAUUUUGGAAAUGUGUUGAUGGUAGCUGCGGAAAGGCAGGAGGCAAAGAGCGGGAGCUGUGAGUUCAUCUUGGGGAAGUCUGUACCUUUUAAAGAUCUUUACUCCUCACGCGAUAAGGCAAGACAUCUCUAUGGCCAAGUCAGUGAUUCACUUUACUCUGUAAAUCGCCACACAUGACCUUUUAAUUUGUCUCACUGUCCUGAUGUCAGACAACUUCUACCAUAAAGUCAGUGGAGUCCAAACCACCAUCAACAUGGUUUAUGCUGAGCAUUUCUAAAUUUCCUAAAUUGGCAGCCUGAGUUAAGUAUUUAAAUACACAUUAAGUGUUCAAAAAGAGUGCUCUCAAAGGUGCUAAGCAUCUGCAGCUCCAUCUUCUGUCAACGGGAGGUUCAGAUGCUUAUGCUUUUUCAAAAAUCAAGCCUUUCCUUAAGCUGGGAAAUAUUGGUCGAGAUUAGGUGGUCAUCAGCAGGUGCUACCAUUCAGGAGCUCUAUUAUCUUCCCAACUUCAAUCACAGAUGACUGAAGGGUGGAAGUCCACAUGGACAUGGAUAAUGUAGCUGUGAGGAGCUAACUGUUUUGCCUCCAAAACAAGAUUUGGUUUUGCAAACGUUGAAGCUCAGCAGACAGUAAGGCAGUUUGUGCUGAAGAGCAUUGAUCUCUAUUUCUUUACUGGCACAUCGAGAUGACUUAAAAGAACACUUGGUUUAUUAGAUUAUUUUGCUUGGUGCUUUAAGAUCAUACACCACUAACUUAAAAAAUGUAGUCUGCUAGAUGGUAUCAGCUAGAACCAUGCCCUUGGCGACAAAAACCCAAGAGAUGGGGUUUUUGUUAUUGUUGUAUAUAUAUCCUGAACGAUGGUCAGAGACAACAUAAAAUGUUGGUCCUGUAUGCUAGAACUCUCUAAUGCAUGUGUGAAAUGGCUGAUUUCUGUUGCAAAACCCCAGUCUUUGGUGGCUGAACUGUCCCACCAGGGUGUCCGAGUGACCUGGUCCAGCCAUCAGAGGGUAACAGGCUGCCGGACAGGGCACUGGGGCAAGGAGCCUGCUGCUCUUGCUGUCUGCCAGUACCUGUGGGUGUCACCAGCACUUACUGGGAGGGGAGCCAGGAGAUGAAAAACAAAUCAAAGAAAAUAAUUAAAAAAAAAAAACCAACAACCUUUCCCCCUAGCAAUUAGCAUAUGAGAUUUGCUUUGCAACUCCUUUGCAUAAAAAAAGUAUUUGUGAUCCAAAUAUUUUACAAAGCAAUUGUAGAGUGGCCGUGGCAGAGCACAGUGUCGCCUUUCCCCUGCUCUGUGACGGGAGGAAUCACUGCACGGCCUCUGCCCCAACUUCUCUUCAAAAACAGUCACACACUUAUUGGGAUGUGGUUUUAAAAAACAGGCUGUGACUUUUCAGGCAAAAUGUCCAGCCCUGGUUUUAAAGGUCCUAAUAAACAUAGAAGAGCUUGGUGUUACUGAGUUUUUCAAUGAAUGACCUGAAAUAAAAACCAAGUUAUUCAUCUGAGUGGCAGUAAAUGUAGCAAUAUAUUUAAAUUGAAGAAGCUAUGCAUUAUUUUGAGACACCGGCAGAAAGCCAUACCAGUGAAUCCCAUUAAGGCACCUUCUCUUGAUUGCUUGCGGAGCCCCUCUUCAUCUCGGAAAUCGAUGUAAACAAGGUCUAUUGCUUGAAGGCCAAAUGCCUUUGCUGUGACUAUUAUUUUUUGCCUGGCAUAUAGAAUAUCGUGAGUUUCCUUACUGCUUGUUGCACCUACGAAAACAAUGAAAACAAAGAAAAGCUGACAAGAGUGUUUAAAACCUUUCUAUUUAAAUAUUUCCUAUGUAAAAAAACCCGAAACUUUUGAGAUUUCAUUUAACCAAUUUAGAAAACAAAAGAGGGGUUGCAAGGCUAUAUUGUCAAAAUAAUACUCUUAUGAGGAUAACCGAAAAGUUGUUUUAGCAAAACAAAAAAAUCUCUCUUUAAGCACUAGAUUAUAAAAUCCAAAUUUUGAUUCAGUUCAAAUCAGAAGUUGUAAGGCUGAAGUCAGUGGGAGUUUUGGCUGCUAAGGACUGUGAAGUUGGGACUAACAUGAAGUAAUUAUUUGAUUACAGUAUUUACUGUACGUACAGUGAGAAGCAUUACUGCAAAAGAAGCUUUAUACAAAUUGAUAUACUGGGUACAACUAAAUGGUUAAAAAAUUCACACUGAGAAUAGAAUUGCACUUGCCCUGGUUGUGAUUCUUGUCACAACUGAUGUCCUAAGCUGAAUAUUUAAGCUUUAGUAUUUGGAUGAAAAAUGACGGUAGAUGACUUCUGAGAAGAAGCAAAAGUAUUCAUGAGACUUCAUGCGCUCACAGGGCACCAGUUAAGCAAUGUGCUCAUGUGAAGGCUGAUGUGAAAAAAUAAAACAAUAAUAAUAAUAAUAGUAUAUUCCCUUUACUUAGGGUCACUAUUUACACACAGUUUUCCAGUUUGUAUUAUUUUACUAAAGCAAUGCUAUUUUUUACAUUAACGUACUUAUUUUUAAUGAAAAUGUUGAUAGGUCUGCACUAUUAUGUAUAAACUGAAUCACAUUAAUAAGGUGGUAAACGGCCCCUCAUAAAAGCUAUUUUGAAAUACUUUUUAUUUUUGAGGAAGACUAAUAGUGCUUUCACACGAAUAUGUGGCUCUCUUGACAUGGGACAUAUUUAAAGUAAAUUUAUGAAAGCAAAAUGUAUCAGGAGAGUAUUUGUGCAUGAUGUCAAAAGCCUGACAAACAAUUGUCUGCAAAACCAUGACAAAGCAGACACUGGAAUUUUAGCACUUUAAAUGCAGUUCUUAGAAGCAUGUGCAUGUUUCUUAUGGAUAUCAUAUUUUUAUACAAUUUCAGUGACUCAACAGUCUUUUUGUUUUAUUUUGGUUUUGUUUUUCAUUAAUUUUUGGUACUGCAUGGCAAGAAGCACAAGAAGGUGUCAGCGCACUGUAACACACAGGGACCACGUUUUGAUUUCCCAGUGACACAUUCUGCAUUGAAAAAAAUUGAGGAGGAAAGUGGAAGUGUAGAAUUCAGAGUCCGGCGUUGACAUUACUUUCAUAAUUGCUGCCAGAAAAGCCAUGCCCAUAAGUCACAUCGGGCUCCUCCAAUGCAAAAGCCAGACAUUAACAUUUAUAGUAAACAGACAGGUAACAACCUAUGCUGGCACGGAAAUCCUCUCCUCCAAAGACGACUGCGUCCAAAUGGAAGCCAACCUGGGAUCCUGUUCUCAGUGCUUCUUCACAGACAGCCUUCAAAUGAGAACAGAGUGUUAAUUUCUACAGAAAUGCAGGAUGCAGAGAGACUAAGAGGAUAGUACAGCAACUCUGUGUUACUAAAACCCUUCAGCUAAAAUUGCUCCUAUUAAGCAAAGCCAUUGCAGGUGUUUGACUGUGCACAGUGCUUUAAAAUGACUCAGCAAAAGAGAAAACGUUAUCUUUCCUUAAGCACCUCUAUGCCUAGGCUGUGUAAAUACAGGACAUCGUAGCAGAUUUCACACCAUUUGAUUGACAUCGGGUUAUUACUGUGAUCGGUACUUCAGGUAUUUAUGUAAUAAUAUGAAACAAAACAUUUGUCAAAUAUUGCUUAAAACCAAAUGAGAGGUAUUACAUUUGAUUAUUUUGCCAUGUAAUAUAUCUGCACGAGAAAAAUAAAUCAGAAUAUCUUUUAUUAAAUAAAUAAUUUGAACGGUUUAAAAUGGUUGUGAAUUCCUUAUAGGAUGUAAGGAUUCCUUAUAGGAUUGCUAAUUUAAAGCCUUCUGCUACAUAUAACUAAGAAGUAGGUAAGGAAGUUAAAAAUGCAACAAGUGCUGCAGAAAAGUAUUACAACAAAAGCAAUGAAAAAUUUGCUGCCGUAGCUAUUCUAUGAGGAAGCGCAUUUCCAAAAUAUUACUAUUUUAUAUCGAUGUUUGGAAAAUAUUAAUAUUUCUAAGGCUAAGGUACACAGAGAGAGAGGAUGUAAUUACAGGCUACACUGGUGGGUGUUCUAUGGCAGCUGGUGCGACAAGAAAUUAUUCUUAACCAGAGUUCUUUAAAAGGCAACUCUCCCGCCAACAUCAGGAGCUGCACUAUUAAAAACUGCACUAUAAAAUAGUGUAGGUGAAUAAAAAUACCUCAGCCGGGUUCAAAUACGAUUUAAUUCUGUGUAUGCACACGGAAGAGGAGCGUGUCUGUUCGGUUACUGCUUUAUUACGUUCCCAGAUACGUUAGUGUGUGUUGUAAGAUAAAUGGCUGCAUCAAACGAGCAGGCUGCCUGUGAGGGCCGCUGGUAUUUGUGGAGGUACUUCUGAUGUGUGUGUCCUCAGCUGGUCCCAAACUUUUUCCUUGGAGCUUGGGCGGGGAAUGCUGAAUUCCUGGUGUAGGCACGAGAUCUUCCAUUUUCGUUACCACCCUGCCUCACCUUUCUGACAAACCUGGACUUGACAGUAAAGGUUGGGGAGCGAUUUAUAUUAAAAUGCACUUAGAAAUGAUCUAAUAUGACCCUGAGAAAGGAGCAUGUUCUUCAGAAAUUGCCUAUUUUCCAAGUUAAUUAUACUUCUAAUCUUAGCAUUAAACACUCCAUCAUAUACACAAAAAAUACUAUAACAUGAAAUCUGGCUGGAAUGUUAUCAGUAGAAACCAUUAUAAACAUACCAGUUUAGCAAUAAGGAAGUGAGGAUGAUUCUUUUUUCUAAUUAAACAUUACACAAAAGUCCAGUUUGACAGCUACUAAACAGCCAAGUGUAUUGCAACACUGUGAGUAUUUCAAAUAUUUGGAGAAGCACGUUUCUACUCCAAGUGUAUUAAAAUUGAUAACAGCAAUGCAGAGAGAUUUUGUUACUUGGCAUGGGCUAUCUGGAACUGUUCUGUCACUGAAAUAUUUUGAAUUUAUGAAGGUCUUUAGUAUGCAAACAUGAGAGUUAAAUAUACAGAUGUUUCAGGGGACUGAAAAAUAUGUUUAGUGUUUUUUAAUCUCUCUUCCUUGCUGCUGGAGGAGACUGGGGAGUAUUCUGCUCAUCCUAGUUUGCUGAGAUGGCAAAACAUGAACACUUCAAGACCUGCUUACCUUAAAAUUGAGCAAACCCACUGCAGUUUCCACAAAAGGGAUAAAAUUCAUUGGUUCUACAAGUGUUCGGCCUUUUAGGUGAUGUGAGAAUUUGUCUGAAAACUAAAACUUGACAGAAUGAGCUAUCAGAGAGAAAAGAGAGAGGAAAAAAAACCACAAGAACAGCCUACAUGUAUAUAUAACACAUUAAAUUUUCACCUGCCUGUGACAACAACCCUCUCCACCUUAAAACCUUAUAAUUAAAAAAAUUAAACCAGUUUUUAACAAGGCCUGCAAUUUGAAAGUGCAGCAUUCCCAUACAUUUCUAAGUUCGGAGGCUUGUUUGCAAAAAAAAAAAACCAGGCUUAGCACCUCUCACCCUGGCUUAGUGAAAUGCAAAUCUGCGGGUCCUGGAAAACAAUGAAGUGCUGCUGUACCUGAGGUCCGGUUUUGUUUCAGGUCCAGCACUGCCAUCACUGGAAGUGCUCCCCAGCCUUCUAAGUGGCAUCCGUAUUAUUCAUUACGGCACCGUUACCCUUUUGUUCAAUAGGCUUUUCUUCAUAAUUUUUUAGCUUACCUAGGAAGGCCUUAAAAAGGAAGUUUAAUUCUUUGAAGACCAAAGCUUGCCAAUUUUUUCCAUGAGACCAGUUCACAGCUAGCUCUGAGCUGCCAGUGGGGUAGCCCAAAUUCCAAAAUCUAUCAUCUGGAAACAUACAAAAGCUCUUGCACAGAUUUUUCCCCUUUCAAAAGGGGAAAAAAAAAAAAGAAAAAAAAAAAGGAAAAAAAAAAGGGGGGGGAAAAACCCUCAGCCCUAUAUUGUAAAUCUAUUAUGUCUGUCCAGAUCGCGCAAUUUGUGCAGAGAUAACCAUAAUGCAGGUGUGGCAAAAAUAUGUUAGUAAAUAAAGACAAAAAUAACAUAUGCAUAUAUUUUAAAUUUAAGGAAUAUUCUACUAUUAAUGGAUAUCAAAGGAAAGGGAAUUUUAAUCAUCUCUCCAUUCAGUCUCAGUUGGGUAAAUCAUAUCUAAGAGAUUUGCAUAAAUAUAAACCAUCAAAGACUUUUCAUCUUCAAAGGGGGUUUCAAGACCCUAUAAGCUUUGUACUGUAAUCAUCGCAGGUCACAACCCUGCAGGAAUAAGGCUGCUAUGGCAACAUAAAAAACUAAUGCUUAAGGCUUAGCAUAAUAUUCUGACUAAUAGAAAGGAAACUCAUUUUAAAAGCUGGCAGCCUAUUUACCAGAAGCUGGAUUAGAGGUGUUAUUUCCCCUUUUAGCUUCCCCCCACCGCCCCUCCCCAAAAGAAGGAAAAUCUAAUCACCCAGAUCUUGAAAAAAAGCUUUCCAGCAAUUUGCAGUAACUUUACAAUUAGGCCAAAAUAAAUCACAGCUUUCUUCUGCCCUUCCCAACCCCGCUAUGCAUCGGCACCACGGCCCUCUCCGUAACUUUUCUUUGGAGAAGAGAAUUCCACCCAAAAAUGCACCAGGAGGGAAAAAAAAAAUCAAUGCAUUUCACAUUUGUGAGGAUACAGUAUGGCAGGUACUACAGUGACAGAAAACAGUAAACUUCAUGUAGACGAUGAGCUAAUAAAAUGGCAUCAGCAUAUAUUCUUGAGACUCCUAUCUGUUUUUUAUUUUUUAAGUGAAAAAAAAAGGAAGAAGUGCUACUGUGUUUGUAUUUUAGAUGCAAGUUAAAGCUCUUCUUUUAAUUUAAAAUAUUCUAAAAGUCACACUCCUGGGAUUUUUUUCUAUCUUUUGUUUUGAAGGUAAACAAACAACAAAAAAGCACAUUUAAUUAAAUAUUGUCUCCCUUCCUCUCCCUUUAAAAAAAACCGCAAUGAGCACCAAUACAAAAGGUAACGAGUGGAGAACUUUUAAUUAAUUUAUUUUUUUUUUUCAAAGGAGACGAUUAAAUGUUUCCGGGCCGCUAAAGUGUUCAUUUCAGGGAGAAAAGGGGAAAAAAAAACCAACAAAAAAAAAAGAA